rnacentral:rRNA from 1 species
UACGUAGGGACCGAGCGUUGUCCGGAAUCAUUGGGCGUAAAGAGCGUGUAGGCGGCCAACUAAGUCCUGCGUGAAAUCUCGGGGCUCAACCCCGAGCGGUCGUGGGAAACUGGUUGGCUAGAGUGCGGGAGAGGAGAGUGGAAUUCCCGGUGUAGCGGUGAAAUGCGCAGAUAUCGGGAAGAACACCCGUGGCGAAGGCGGCUCUCUGGGACGGUACUGACGCUGAGACGCGGAAAGCGUGGGGAGCCGA